rnacentral:rRNA from 1 species
AUACGUAGGGGGCGAGCGUUGUCCGGAAUGAUUGGGCGUAAAGGGCGCGUAGGCGGCCCGGUAAGUCUGGAGUGAAAGUCCUGUUUUUAAGAUGGGAAUUGCUUUGGAUACUGUCGGGCUUGAGUGUAGGAGAGGUAAGUGGAAUUCCCCGUGUAGCGGUGAAAUGCGUAGAGAUUGGGAGGAACACCAGUGGCGAAGGCGACUUACUGGACUGUAACUGACGCUGAGGCGCGAAAGUGUGGGGAGCAAACAGGAUUAGAUACCCUGGUAGUCCACACUGUAAACGAUGAAUGCUAGGUGUAGGGGGUAUCGACCCCUUCUGUGCCGCAGUCAACACAAUAAGCAUUCCGCCUGGGGAGUACGGCCGCAAGGUUGAAACUCAAAUGAAUUGACGGGG